UGCAAGUCGAGCGGACAGAAGGGAGCUUGCUCCCGGAUGUUAGCGGCGGACGGGUGAGUAACACGUGGGUAACCUGCCUGUAAGACUGGGAUAACUCCGGGAAACCGGAGCUAAUACCGGAUAGUUCCUUGAACCGCAGGGUUCAAGGAUGAAAGACGGUUUCGGCUGUCACUUACAGAUGGACCCGCGGCGCAUUAGCUAGUUGGUGAGGUAACGGCUCACCAAGGCGACGAUGCGUAGCCGACCUGAGAGGGUGAUCGGCCACACUGGGACUGAGACACGGCCCAGACUCCUACGGGAGGCAGCAGUAGGGAAUCUUCCGCAAUGGACGAAAGUCUGACGGACCAACGCCGCGUGAGUGAUGAAGGUUUUCGGAUCGUAAAGCUCUGUUGUUAGGGAAGAACAAGUGCAGAGUAACUGCUUGCACCUUGACGGUACCUAACCAGAAAGCCACGGCUAAUACGUGCCACAGCCGCGGUAAACGUAGGUGGCAGCGUUGUCCGGAUUAUUGGGCGUAAGGGCUCGCAGGCGGUUUCUUAGUCUGAUGUGAAGCCCCGGCUCACCGGGGAGGGUCAUUGGAACUGGGAACUUGAGUGCAAAGAGGAAGUGGAUUCCCGUGUACGGUGAAUGCGUAGAGAGUGGAGGACACCGUGGCAACGCACUCUUGGUCUGAACUGACCAGGAGCAAAGCGUGGGAGCGAAAGGAUUAAUACCUGGUAUCCCGCCGUAACGAUAAUGCUAGUGUUAGGGGUUCCCCCCUUAUGCUCAGCUACGCUUAACACUCGCCGGGGAUACGUCCAACUGAACUCAAGAAUGACGGGGCCCCACAGCGUGGAGCUGUGUUUAUUCAAGCACGCGAGACCUACCAGUCUGACUCCCCGACACCUAAAAUAGGCUUCCUUCGGGACAAUGACAGUGUGCAGGUGUCUCACUCUGUCUGAAAGUUGGUUAAUCCCCACCACCCACCCUGAUUUAUUGC
rnacentral:rRNA from 1 species